AGAAAAUUGGUUACCAGAUAUAGAACUUUUGAUCCUUCGAAGAAUUUAAAGUUGUGAAUAUUAAUUUAGAUAAAAAUGAUUUGAGGCAUAUCAAAAGAACAUUAACAUUAACGUAUUACGUAACAGGAUGAACAAGAUAAAAUGUAAGCAUUGAUUUCGAUAAUCUAAUUACGGAUGAUGGAGAUACACAUUUCGAGAUGGUACUUUAACAAUUGAAAGUUUAGAUGGAAAUAAUUAUAUUUAGAUUCAACGACUCAAUUUAGAAUGUGUAUGUAUACAAUUUUACCACAUAGUAUCGUGAAAAUUUUGAAUCGGAUGUGAUCGUUCCUUAUUAGAGAGAAUAUGAUAUCUCUCUAAUAUAUUUUUAUAUAUUUAAAAUAUAUUCAUGAUAGGCAAUGAUAGAGAUUGGCAUGGUGAAAUUAGAUAGAAGUUGAAAAUGAUAAGCGAUAUGUAAUUGAACAAACGAAUCAUAGAAAAAAUUGAAGAUAAUUAUGAUAAAUUUAUGAAAAUAAAUAUAAAUUGAUGAUAUCUUCGUUAAUAGUAUUCCUAUGUAUUUAGAAGCUGUGUAUUGAAAAAAAAAAAAAAUAAAAAGAAGAAAAGAAAAAGGAAUGCUAUGUAGUACUAGCAAUUUGAAAAAUGAUUUGAUAGGCACGAGGUAAAAGAGAUCAAAAAACAUGAAAGAACUGAUUGAAACGAAUGUAUAUGUACAUAUA